GAUGAACGCUGGCGGCGUGCCUAAUACAUGCAAGUCGAGCGAACAGAUAAGGAGCUUGCUCCUUUGACGUUAGCGGCGGACGGGUGAGUAACACGUGGGUAACCUACCUAUAAGACUGGGAUAACUUCGGGAAACCGGAGCUAAUACCGGAUAACAUUUGGAACCGCAUGGUUCUAAAGUGAAAGAUGGUUUUGCUAUCACUUAUAGAUGGACCCGCGCCGUAUUAGCUAGUUGGUAAGGUAACGGCUUACCAAGGCGACGAUACGUAGCCGACCUGAGAGGGUGAUCGGCCACGCUGGAACUGAGACACGGUCCAGACUCCUACGGGAGGCAGCAGUAGGGAAUAUUCCGCAAUGGGCGAAAGCCUGACGGAGCAACGCCGCGUGAGUGAUGAAGGGUUUCGGCUCGUAAAACUCUGUUAUUAGGGAAGAACAAAUGUGUAAGUAACUGUGCACGUCUUGACGGUACCUAAUCAGAAAGCCACGGCUAACUACGUG
rnacentral:rRNA from 1 species